UUAUAUAUUUGGAGCGUGUGAUUGAUCGUUUUCGCCGUUCUGAAUUGCCUUGUCAAGCGUAACUAAAUUGCAGUUUUCCUGCUUGUAGUAGAGAGGGGGGGGAGGGAUAUUUCAAUUAAAAUGAGAUUUCUGUGGAACAGCAAGUGAAGUAGAUAGAAACCUCGUGCGGCCGAUGGGUUCACAGGACAACCGGACCGAAAAGGCAGUGCGUGAGCAUUCGUGGAUUGCCAUCAGCUGGGACUCAGGAGGCAGCAAUAGAUUGGGGGUGGAGCCAAAUAAAAGAGGAUGCACCUGGUGCUAUCUAAAUUGCCAGCAAGAAGAAAAAAAUCCCAUCUGAUGGAUGGCAUAUGGGAUUAUUACUGCAAGUUCAUCUCAGUCAGUAACUGAACAAUUAUUGGGAGUUGAUGUCUUAUGGUAAACAGCUUUACUAGAUUUUUUUCAACUGUGAGAUAUGAAAGCAGUUAAUAAAGAUU